UGACUGUUAUUGUAUAUAUAUUCCCCUCUUCUCUAUUUUAUUUCCAACAUCAUUUUCUAUGUAUUGGAGGCUCGGACAUAGGUGGAAUUAUGUGAUUCUUUAAGAUUUUAUCACCUAUAUGAGCUAGAAGAGGAGCUAAUACCACUAUCCAAGAAAUAUGAAGAUGGGAUUCCAUUCCAACCGCAUCAAGUAAAUGAAUUAUACUAUCCUGUGCAUCUCUAUCAUUAUUUUUUUGUGUCAUUGUCGUAUUAUGUACUUUAAUGAUUGUCAUGUUUCGUUAUAUCAUACUGGACAUCAAGCAUUAUUUGUA